rnacentral:misc_RNA from 1 species
AUUUGAUUAGAAAAAGGAGUUACAAGUUUAAGAAAUUAAAGCCGGCCGAAGUCCAAACUAAAAGCUUACAACAAGAAGCCCUUAAAGCUCACAAAUAAAACCCUAAAGCAAGGAAGGUUGCAAAUGAGAUUUGUCUCCACCAAGCCUGCCGUCGACGGCAUUUUCAAUAGCAAAAGGGAAGCUGAACCAAACAAGAAAAGGGAGAUCAUUUGCUUGCUUAAGAAACCAGCUUCAACAAAAAUCUAGCCAAAACCUCAAGCGUAUUUUUCCUUCACGGCCUUAGACCCAGCAGACCCUUGAACCAACAACAGAAACAAUAGCCUUUGAAGAGGUGGUGCAGUGCAGAGCUCUUAGCAUUUCUAGCCUUAAAGGUCAACUCUAAUCGGUUGGCAAACGCAAAAACCAAUCCAACAAUUACACAAUCCCAGAGGUACCGAGCACAACUAAAAGGAUUACACCUUUCAUAGCCCAAAUCAAAGAAACUCCAACCAUGCAACGCCAAGACAAAAUGCAUGCAAACUACAGUAGCCCAAGUAGAUCAACAAAAACCCUCUAUAGUUGGAGCCAAAUUUACCACAAAAAUGCAAAAAUAACAUUAUUUAUGCACAAACCCCGCCCAAAGGUGGGGAGGGCAUAACUC